CCUACGGGCGGCAGCAGUGAGGAAUAUUGGUCAAUGGACGAGCGUCUGAACCAGCCAAGUAGCGUGAAGGAUGACUGCCCUAUGGGUUGUAAACUUCUUUUAUAUGGGAAUAAAACGUUCCACGUGUGGGAUUUUGUAUGUACCAUAUGAAUAAGGAUCGGCUAACUCCGUGCCAGCAGCCGCGGUAAUACGGAGGAUCCGAGCGUUAUCCGGAUUUAUUGGGUUUAAAGGGAGCGUAGGUGGAUUGUUAAGUCAGUUGUGAAAGUUUGCGGCUCAACCGUAAAAUUGCAGUUGAAACUGGCAGUCUUGAGUACAGUAGCGGUGGGCGGAAUUCGUGGUGUAGCGGUGAAAUGCUUAGAUAUCACGAAGAACUCCGAUUGCGAAGGCAGUUCACUGGACUGCAACUGACACUGAGGCUCGAAAGUGUGGGUAUCAAACAGGAUUAGAUACCCCAGUAGUC
rnacentral:rRNA from 1 species